GUCCAUUGUAGCACGUGUGUAGCCCAGGUCAUAAGGGGCAUGAUGAUUUGACGUCAUCCCCACCUUCCUCCGGUUUGUCACCGGCAGUCACCUUAAAGUGCCCAACUAAAUGCUGGCAACUAAAAUCAAGGGUUGCGCUCGUUGCGGGACUUAACCCAACAUCUCACGACACGAGCUGACGACAACCAUGCACCACCUGUCACUCUGUCCCCGAAGGGAAAGCCCUAUCUCUAGGGUUGUCAGAGGAUGUCAAGACCUGGUAAGGUUCUUCGCGUUGCUUCGAAUUAAACCACAUGCUCCACCGCUUGUGCGGGCCCCCGUCAAUUCCUUUGAGUUUCAGUCUUGCGACCGUACUCCCCAGGCGGAGUGCUUAAUGCGUUAGCUGCAGCACUAAGGGGCGGAAACCCCCUAACACUUAGCACUCAUCGUUUACGGCGUGGACUACCAGGGUAUCUAAUCCUGUUCGCUCCCCACGCUUUCGCUCCUCAGCGUCAGUUACAGACCAGAGAGUCGCCUUCGCCACUGGUGUUCCUCCACAUCUCUACGCAUUNCACCGCUACACGUG
rnacentral:rRNA from 1 species